rnacentral:rRNA from 1 species
GAACUUAAGCAUAUCAAUAAGCGGAGGAAAAGAAACCAACAGGGAUUGCCUCAGUAACGGCGAGUGAAGCGGCAACAGCUCAAAUUUGAAAUCUGGCUCUUUCAGGGUCCGAGUUGUAAUUUGUAGAAGAUGCUUCGGGUGUGGCUCCGGUCUAAGUUCCUUGGAACAGGACGUCAUAGAGGGUGAGAAUCCCGUAUGUGACCGGUUGCUUUCGCCCAUGUGAAGCUCUUUCGACGAGUCGAGUUGUUUGGGAAUGCAGCUCAAAAUGGGUGGUAAAUUUCAUCUAAAGCUAAAUAUUGGCCAGAGACCGAUAGCGCACAAGUAGAGUGAUCGAAAGAUGAAGAGCACUUUGGAAAGAGAGUUAAACAGUACGUGAAAUUGUUGAAAGGGAAGCGCUUGCAACCAGACUUGCACGCUGCCGAUCAUCUGGGGUUCUCUCCAGUGCACUCGGUUGCGUUCAGGCCAGCAUCGGUUUGGGUGGUUGGAUAAAGGCUUAGGGAAUGUAGCUUCUUUCGGGGAGUGUUAUAGCCCUAGGUGCAAUGCAGCCUACCCGGACCGAGGACCGCGCUUCGGCUAGGAUGCUGGCGUAAUGGUUGUAAGCGACCCGUCUUGAAACACGGACCAAGGAGUCUAACAUCUAUGCGAGUGUUUGGGUGUCAAACCCAUACGCGUAAUGAAAGUGAACGGAGGUGAGAACCCUUAAGGGUGCAUCAUCGACCGAUCCUGAUGUCUUCGGAUGGAUUUGAGUAAGAGCAUAGCUGUUGGGACCCGAAA